CCGGUAACAACGAAGAAGGCCAACUCAUUCCAGGUAUAGCGUUGCGGAUGAAAGCAGUGAUGAAGACCUUACUUGAGUGUCGUUGAUCGUUGUUAGACUUUCUAUUAUCAUGUUUAAGGAUAUUUUAGUUUAGAACUUUUUGUAUGCAAACUCAUAUAUUUUGACUUUUGAAUUGUUGAUCAAGUAUAUGGAUAAUGUUAGUUGGAUAUUUUAAUUUUA